rnacentral:lncRNA from 1 species
AGACAUUGUCAUUUUCGGGAAAAAAAAAAAAAGGCAGGAUGUUGUAAUACAAGUAUUUAGAUUUAACUGUAUUAUAAAAUUAGUGCUGAAUGAUAGAUAAAAUCCCAUACUAUUUCAUAUUUUCAAUCUUGUUUUUUAUCAGACAUCACAACAGCUCACGACUAUAUAAAUUCUAUUUUCCUAGAAAAAAAUUUGGAAGCCUAAAUCUACUUUAAUGAGAAUUUUACAAUACUUUUAUCCCUUUCAUUCACUGGACUUUUUAAUACUUCAGAAUUAAAGGAAAUCUUUGUUGAAAAGAGUCCUUUUCUAAGUUUUAUGAUUGGCUUAUAAUAUGGUUAUUCAUUCAUUUGUACAAAAGUAUAUGAACUGGGUAUAAAAUCAAAUGAAAU